CCUAGCAUCCCUCCCUCCCGAUACAGCCUUUCUCAACCUGUGGGUCCCCAGAUGUUAUUAUUAGUUCAACAACAUCUGGGGACCCACAGGUUGAGAAAGGCUGUAUCGGGAGGGAGGGAUGCUAGG